rnacentral:rRNA from 1 species
GAUGAACGCUGGCGGCGUGCCUAAUACAUGCAAGUCGAGCGAACAGAUGAGGAGCUUGCUCCUCUGACGUUAGCGGCGGACGGGUGAGUAACACGUGGAUAACCUACCUAUAAGACUGGGAUAACUUCGGGAAACCGGAGCUAAUACCGGAGAAUAUAUUGAACCGCAUGGUUCAAUAGUGAAAUACGGUUUUGCUGUCACUUAUAGAUGGAUCCGCGCCGCAUCAGCUAGUUGGUAAGGUAACGGCUUACCAAGGCAACGAUGCGUAGCCGACCUGAGAGGGUGAUCGGCCACACUGGAACUGAGACACGGUCCAGACUCCUACGGGAGGCAGCAGUAGGGAAUCUUCCGCAAUGGGCGAAAGCCUGACGGAGCAACGCCGCGUGAGUGAUGAAGGUCUUCGGAUCGUAAAACUCUGUUAUUAGGGAAGAACAAAUGUGUAAGUAACUAUGCACGUCUUGACGGUACCUAAUCAGAAAGCCACGGCUAACUACGUG